UAAACUCCUGUCACUGCAGAACAAGGGUACGUUAGUUAACAGCCAACGUAUUUGAUGGUAUGCGGAGAGGAAGGGACGGCUAACUCUGUGC
rnacentral:rRNA from 1 species